rnacentral:lncRNA from 1 species
CACAUUAGAUCAGAAAACCUUGGGAGAACAGAUCCAGCCCAAAGGAUGUGCUAGGCUCUCACCAAGCCAGAGCCAUCUGAACCGAGGCUCCUCGUCUUUGGAAACUGUGUCCCUGGAAAUCUUAGGGGCCGAAAUGAAGGUCUGGUCUUGGAGCAGCCACGAGGCCUGGAGAAUCUCAGCAAACACCCUGCACAGGAUUCCGAUGUGCUUACUUGAUCUAGGGGCAGUAGGGAGGAGCUACACAUGCAAAUAUGAUUUUACAAGUCAUACUACAGAAAGAAGAAUGCCUUUCCUGAUCUCCAAACAAAAGAGAACACCUGAACCCUCAGUUCUACCCAGGAAUCUGCUAUUGUGAUAGCCCCAGUGGCUCCUUCCUGGUCCCUCACUUCCUUGAGGUACCCUAAAUGGCCGGGGAUUUAUUUUUGCAGCAUGGAUUCCAGUCCCCGAGGGACAGUUUCCACUGCAGAGGACCACUGCAAGCCAUUCUGCCAGAAGCCUGAGCCAUAAAUAUCUACUCUGCUGGUGACCAAGUGUUUAUUUGUCCUUGCACAAAAGGCCACUGUAAAAAUUGUCCACUGGGCCAUAGCAGGGGAAGAUGGGAAGACGAUAUCCAAGACUGACCAGCCUCGCUGAAGAGCUAUUAACCCAAUCCAUGUCAGAGGGAAGAGGCUUAAAGGGGAUGCAGCAGCCAGGACCCAGCUAUGGGAUUUUGGGUCAUUGUCCCAGGAAGAAAGAGCGAUGGUAAACACCACUGGCAGAGCCAGAGUCUCCCCUGAAGGUCAGCGCCUCGAAGCCUGAGGCUGAAGCUCGAGGAUCAGGAGCUCAAGGCCAGGAGAGCCUUGGCUAUGUGGGCCAGUGAGUUGGCUUAGCAGGCAGUGGCACCCUGAGAUUGUGGUAGAUCAAGCUCUGGAACCCAUGCAUAGGUGGAGAAGAAGACCCAGCUCCACGAAGCUGUCCUCUGACCACCUCACACAUGGUAUAUCAACAACAACCAAAGAUCUCAACUGGCUUGGGAGCUGCAAAGGGCCAGGCAUGCCAGCCAGAGCACUUCCCUGAAUGGGACCUCAAAAGAAGUCUCGGAGGCGUGGCUGAUGACAACCACUCAGAUUCAUCCAUUGCCUUCUUUGUCAGAAGGACAUUCCCCAAGCACGGAGCCCUCACAGAGAACAGCUAGUCUUUAAGAGGGACUUGAAGAGGUUAUGCAGCUGAAGCAUGGUCAGGGCUGCUUGUGAACUUUCGGGAGCUGGCAGGGAGGCCUGGACCUAGAGAGGGGCUGGGCAGGAUGGAUGCAGGCACAGGGCACCGAAUACCAAAGCAAAUGACCGACAAGAACACAAGGGAAGAGGAGCCCUCUCAGCUUUGGCUGUGCGUCCCGUUGGAUGUUAGAGAUGCAGAUCUGAAGAGAAAGAUGCCAGAGGAAGAAAGAAGUGGCGCCCGUGUGCUAUCGGAUGAGAGUGGAGAGGCAGCAGAUUGGGGGAAGGAGGAGACAUAGCCCACACCCCAGUUAGCCCCCACUGUCCGUGGUGGGGAGCUCUUGCACCAAGCUUGGGAGGUGGGCUGCAUUUGCUCAGGCAUGUGGUGGUGUUGCUUAAACAUCAGAUGAUAAGUGCGGAGGCACGGUCGUCCCAGAUCUGAAGAGGGCCAGGCCCAGCCUUGGCUCCAGCACACUCGAACAGAGCAGCCAUGUGUACAGCAGCCAUGUGUUCCUCCAGGGCUGUCAUUUCAGUGCCUGUCUGGUCCAAGUCAAGGUCUUGUUUCUUCCCAUGGUGGGAGCUCCAGAGG